CUACAGGUCGGUGUACCCAGAGGUCGUUAUACUUUUCCAUCCCCAUCCGGCACUUCCUAACGGGGUGAGACUUGGUCUACUGGCUGAUAGGGUUCAGAGUCCACUUUGGUGAAUUUUCUGGCCCUCUUGCCAAGUCUUAGUGGUCCUGCGAGGCCAACACCCAUCCUCAUAUUCUUAGGUACUCACGCCCAAACAGCCAAUACAUA